GCUCUUGUAGCUUAACUGGUAGAGCUUCCUACCCUUAGUAAGAGGACCCAGGUUCAAUUCUUAGUAGUAGCU